UACGGGGGGGGCAAGCGUUGUUCGGAAUUACUGGGCGUAAAGGGCUCGUAGGCGGCCAACUAAGUCAUACGUGAAAUCCCUCGGCUUAACCGGGGAACUGCGUCUGAUACUGGAUGGCUUGAGUUCGGGAGAGGGAUGCGGAAUUCCAGGUGUAGCGGUGAAAUGCGUAGAUAUCAAGAGGAACACCUGAGGUGAAGACGGGUUGCUGGGCUGACACUGACGCUGAGGCGCGAAAGCCAGGGGAGCAAACGGG
rnacentral:rRNA from 1 species